rnacentral:rRNA from 1 species
AACCGAGUCUUAACCGGGCGUUAAGUUGCAGGGUAUAGACCCGAAACCCGGUGAUCUAGCCAUGGGCAGGUUGAAGGUUGGGUAACACUAACUGGAGGACCGAACCGACUAAUGUUGAAAAAUUAGCGGAUGACCUGUGGCUGGGGGUGAAAGGCCAAUCAAACCGGGAGAUAGCUGGUUCUCCCCGAAAGCUAUUUAGGUAGCGCCUCGUGAAUUCAUCUCCGGGGGUAGAGCACUGUUUCGGCUAGGGGGCCAUCCCGGCUUACCAACCCGAUGCAAACUGCGAAUACCGGAGAAUGUUAUCACGGGAGACACACGGCGGGUGCUAACGUCCGUCGUGAAGAGGGAAACAACCCAGACCGCCAGCUAAGGUCCCAAAGUCAUGGUUAAGUGGGAAACGAUGUGGGAAGGCCCAGACAGCCAGGAUGUUGGCUUAGAAGCAGCCAUCAUUUAAAGAAAGCGUAAUAGCUCACUGGUCGAGUCGGCCUGCGCGGAAGAUGUAACGGGGCUAAACCAUGCACCGAAGCUGCGGCAGCGACACUGUGUGUUGUUGGGUAGGGGAGCGUUCUGUAAGCCUGCGAAGGUGGCCUGUGAGGGUUGCUGGAGGUAUCAGAAGUGCGAAUGCUGACAUAAGUAACGAUAAAGCGGGUGAAAAGCCCGCUCGCCGGAAGACCAAGGGUUCCUGUCCAACGUUAAUCGGGGCAGGGUGAGUCGACCCCUAAGGCGAGGCCGAAAGGCGUAGUCGAUGGGAAACGGGUUAAUAUUCCCGUACUUGGUGUUACUGCGAAGGGGGGACGGAGAAGGCUAUGUUGGCCGGGCGACGGUUGUCCCGGUUUAAGCGUGUAGGUGUGUGUUCCAGGUAAAUCCGGUUCACUUUAACACUGAGGCGUGACGACGAGGCACUACGGUGCUGAAGCAACAAAUGCCCUGCUUCCAGGAAAAGCCUCUAAGCAUCAGGUAACAUCAAAUCGUACCCCAAACCGACACAGGUGGUCAGGUAGAGAAUACCAAGGCGCUUGAGAGAACUCGGGUGAAGGAACUAGGCAAAAUGGUGCCGUAACUUCGGGAGAAGGCACGCUGACACGUAGGUGAAGUGAUUUACUCAUGGAGCUGAAGUCAGUCGAAGAUACCAGCUGGCUGCAACUGUUUAUUAAAAACACAGCACUGUGCAAACACGAAAGUGGACGUAUACGGUGUGACGCCUGCCCGGUGCCGGAAGGUUAAUUGAUGGGGUCAGCGCAAGCGAAGCUCCUGAUCGAAGCCCCGGUAAACGGCGGCCGUAACUAUAACGGUCCUAAGGUAGCGAAAUUCCUUGUCGGGUAAGUUCCGACCUGCACGAAUGGCGUAAUGAUGGCCAGGCUGUCUCCACCCGAGACUCAGUGAAAUUGAACUCGCUGUGAAGAUGCAGUGUACCCGCGGCAAGACGGAAAGACCCCGUGAACCUUUACUAUAGCUUGACACUGAACAUUGAGCCUUGAUGUGUAGGAUAGGUGGGAGGCUUUGAAGUGUGGACGCCAGUCUGCAUGGAGCCGACCUUGAAAUACCACCCUUUAAUGUUUGAUGUUCUAACGUGGACCCGUUACCCGGGUUGCGGACAGUGUCUGGUGGGUAGUUUGACUGGGGCGGUCUCCUCCUAAAGAGUAACGGAGGAGCACGAAGGUUGGCUAAUCCUGGUCGGACAUCAGGAGGUUAGUGCAAUGGCAUAAGCCAGCUUGACUGCGAGCGUGACGGCGCGAGCAGGUGCGAAAGCAGGUCAUAGUGAUCCGGUGGUUCUGAAUGGAAGGGCCAUCGCUCAACGGAUAAAAGGUACUCCGGGGAUAACAGGCUGAUACCGCCCAAGAGUUCAUAUCGACGGCGGUGUUUGGCACCUCGAUGUCGGCUCAUCACAUCCUGGGGCUGAAGUAGGUCCCAAGGGUAUGGCUGUUCGCCAUUUAAAGUGGUACGCGAGCUGGGUUUAGAACGUCGUGAGACAGUUCGGUCCCUAUCUGCCGUGGGCGCUGGAGAACUGAGGGGGGCUGCUCCUAGUACGAGAGGACCGGAGUGGACGCAUCACUGGUGUUCGGGUUGUCAUGCCAAUGGCACUGCCCGGUAGCUAAAUGCGGAAGAGAUAAGUGCUGAAAGCAUCUAAGCACGAAACUUGCCCCGA